UACAGAGGUGGCAAGCGUUGUUCGGAAUUACUGGGCGUAAAGGGCGCGUAGGCGGCCUUCUAAGUCAGACGUGAAAUCCCCCGGCUUAACCUGGGAACUGCGUCUGAUACUGGAUGGCUUGAGUUUGGGAGAGGGAUGCGGAAUUCCAGGUGUAGCGGUGAAAUGCGUAGAUAUCUGGAGGAACACCGGUGGCGAAGGCGGCAUCCUGGACCAACACUGACACUGAAAAGCGAAAGCCAGGGGAGCAAACGGG
rnacentral:rRNA from 1 species